AGCAUGAUUCUAGCUUGCUAGAAUGAUGGCGACCGCGCGACGGGUGAGUAACGCGUACUCCAACCUUCCCUAUAGUAGAGGAUAGCCCGGCGAAAGUCGGAUUAAUACUCUAUGUUGUUCAAUGCGGACAUCUAAGUUGAACCAAAGGUUUACCGCUAUAGGAUGGGGAUGCGUCUGAUUAGAUGGGUAGGCGGGGUAACGGCCCACCUAGUCGACGAUCAGUAGGGGUUCUGAGAGGAAGGUCCCCCACAUUGGAACUGAGACACGGUCCAAACUCCUACGGAGGCAGCAGUGAGGAAUAUUGGUCAAUGGGCGAGAGCCUGAACCAGCCAAGUAGCGUGCAAGGAUGACGGCCCUAUGGGUUGUAAACUGUCUUUUAUAUAGGGAUAAAGUGCACCACGUGUGGUGUUUUGUAGGUACUAUAUGAAUAAGGACCGGCUAAUUCCGUGCCAGCCGCUGC
rnacentral:rRNA from 1 species